rnacentral:rRNA from 1 species
UACGUAGGGUGCGAGCGUUGUCCGGAAUUAUUGGGCGUAAAGGGCUCGUAGGCGGUUUGUCGCGUCGGGAGUGAAAACUCAGGGCUUAACCCUGAGCCUGCUUCCGAUACGGGCAGACUGGAGGUAUGCAGGGGAGAACGGAAUUCCUGGUGUAGCGGUGAAAUGCGCAGAUAUCAGGAGGAACACCGGUGGCGAAGGCGGUUCUCUGGGCAUGUCCUGACGCUGAGGAGCGAAAGUGUGGGGAGCGAACAGG